CAAUGGGACUGGAGUGACGGAGGUUGUGAUACAAGGAAGCCGUUUGUUUGUCAAUACACUCCUAAAACAGAAGUUGACACUCUUGCAACUUUUGCAUGCCCAUGGCCUAUCGGAGGGCCCAUCGAAGGAACCGUGUUAAAUGAAACGGGUGGAGUUCAGCCAGCAUCUGCUUCAGGUGGUUUGUCUGCCUUCCCUUUGGCUGCCAUUAUAGCUGCUAGUAUUAUGGCUCUGCUUAUCAUAACCUGCGCCAUUUUAACUAUCGGAAUUAGUAGAAGGAGAAAACGGUUUGUUGAGAACAUGACCAAAAGUGUAAGAACUGACGGCCUGUUUGCCAUCACCAAGGCACCCAAGCGGUACUACCAUUUAUGGAAUAGUCCUUACUCAUACCCACAUUACUCUGACCGGAAGUCGGACAUUGAUGUCGAUUCUUUGUCCACAAUUCAUACUGGUGUAUUUAACGAUGGCAGUGUCCUCUCGGUUCCUGGUUACAGCUAUGAUGAUCAAGGGCGACAAAUCUACACGUUGGUAGGCGACGCUGAUUACUUGUAUGGGAAAAUCAAUAGAAGAACAGACAGUGAACGCUCGAACAUUGUUCAUGUGCUCAGCGAUCCAAUCGCAGAGGAAGAAGAAACCGAAGAAACCGACGUCAAAAUUAUGUCCAACAUGUCUGCUGUACACAGUACCAACUCCCACAACCCCAAAGAGUACAUGACCUUGGCAGCUAUGAUGAAUUUCGGCGAUGAAAACAUUCUUGGGAAGUCGACACUGAGAAAUAGACCAGAAGUAGCAUUAGUCACAAGCGAUGUCGAUCUGAAUUUCACUGUCAAUCAUGCUUUACCGAAAAAGAGAACAUUUAGUGAUACAACCGAAAGAACCAUCGAAGAAAUAGAGUUACCAAGGGGGACAACUGUGGAACUUCCUACCAAACUCAAACAAGAGGAAGUUGAUUUACAAUACUGAAUGGACAGAAUGGGCGAACACUCUGAAGCAUCAGUUCCAAAGAUUGUAAUUGUACGCGAGAAGGCUUUCAAUUUCCAGUACAAGCCUAAUCUUUUUGUCAGUAAAUCCCAUUACUUCUCGUUAUUAUGAUAGGUUUGAUUUUAAAAGGAAAUGACCUUUUUGUGUCGGGCCUAAAACUGGUUUGAUCAGCUCUAUACUAUUGAGUUUUCAUUUCGUGAUACCAGACAGGGUCGUCAUGUUGACGCACAAACUGUUGACUUCGUUCCAAUUGUGACAAAUUUUUCUCAUGCUAUCCAAUUUGCUCUGGUCAUUCUGGUACAAAUUUAUAAACAAACCCCUACUAAAUCUUAUCUUCCAACAGUGAUUCGUGUGUAUAGUUAUAGAUAGAUAUUCUCCAUAUAUUCAGAUAUGUUAUUUAUUAUGAUUUGCAGCAUGGGUUAGAUAUUUAGUAUUAAAUUCAAUUUCAAGGGUGACGUGAAAUCCGAAGGAAGUGGGUGAUUGGUGAAACAAGUGCCUUAUUUAUGGCUGUGAUAGAAACCACAUGCAUUUUACAACAAUCAUCAGUUUAAGUAAUAGUUUGUUUACAUAUAUAAUAGCGGAUUUCAUGUAUACUUACUAUUUCUGGAAAAUCUCAUACAACAUUACUGUUGGAACGACCGUCUACAUAGCACUGAUUUGUCAUUUUCUACUUUUGUAGUUUGAUUCCCUAUUAAAAUCGAUAGUAAUAUGACAAUGUGUUAUUCGCCAAUUGUAGCUAAAACAUACUUAGGAUAUACCGAUGUCUGAGCUACAGUAUUAUAUCUUUCAGUAGAGGUAAUGGUUUUACUGUAGAUAUAAACCGCUUCGAAAGAAACGUCGGUACAUUAUAUUAACAGGAUUCACCUGAUUCCAGAAGACGUGUCCUUUAAAGAUGCAUUAUGUAAAUCUACCUAUUGCAUGUCUUUAUUUUUUAUUUAUUUUUUGGCUUGAAAUGUGAUAUCAGUUAUUAUUUAAACAUGUAUUAACAUGACAAGCUUAUAAUCAGCUGCCUGAGGUAUCGCAUGGCUACGAUUUUAAAUAAAUUAGAACACCGUGGCAAAGUCACUAUUGUUAAGUAUCGUUGGUACGAUAACAAUCUAUGCAACAUUGUCAAAACGUCAAACACUCAUAACUUCGCACAGAAUAAAGUAAUUUGACUGAAAUUUUCAAUAUAUUCAUUUUACAUUAUCUAUUGAUGAACUAUUAUGGCAAAAACGACCUGCUCUUUAUCUAAAUCGUACAUAAUGCAUCUUUAAUGACGACACCCUGUAUUUAAAAUUGUACCAAUAUUUCGAUCCUUUUAUAUUUUUGUUUGUUUUCUCUCUCUAUCUUGGUCGAAAAUAUUUUUAUAAGACGCCUUGAUUAACAGCCCGGUUGUGAUUAGUCAACUCUCGAUUAACCUGUCAAUUAAAACCAUGGAAACAGAACAUUCUACAAAUGAGAGGCGUUGAUUGGCGAGACAUUUGAUUGACGGUCUAAUACAUGUCAAAUAUAGUAUUAUGUUGUCUUCACAAGCUCAGAACGUUUUUUUUCUCACACAUGUUGAUGUAGUGACUAACAGAAUUAGCGAAAUAAAAAUAACAUCUGGUAUUUAUUUCAUUGUUUGUAAUUGUUUUGUAGAUAUUUAAUGUUAAUUAAUGGAACGAAAAUAGCAUCUGGUUUUAAUUCGAUUGUUUGUAAUUGUUUUGUAGAUAUUUAAUGUUAAUUAAUGGAACGAAAAUAGCAUCUGGUUUUAAUUCGAUUGUUUGUAAUUGUUUUGUAGAUAUUGAAAGAUUUGUAUCUAAAACAAAUAUGGCUAUGCCAAUAUAUCUUGCUAACUGUUUAUAAUUUGUAUUUUGUAUGUAAAUAGUAUUUGUGUUUAUUGUAUUAUGUUUUUCGCUCGUACAUUAAUGAUUAGCUUUUUUACAUAACUUAUAAUCGUCAUAUCAUUUAAUUUAUUUAUUUUCCAGAGGCGAGGACAGAAAAUAUCAGUAUAUAGUGACUUAGAGCAAGCAUAUUAGUCUAUCAAAUACGUCUGAA